CAGGUCUAACACAUGCAAGUCGAACGAUGGCUUCGGCCAUAGUGGCGCACGGGUGAGUAACGCGUGGGAACCUGCCUUCUGGUAGGGAAUAACAGCGGGAAACUGCUGCUAAUACCCUAUGUCUGCUGCGGCAGAAAGAUUUAUCGCCAGAAGAGGGGCCCGCGUCCGAUUAGGUAGUUGGUGGCGUAAUGGCCUACCAAGCCGACGAUCGGUAGCUGGUCUGAGAGGAUGAUCAGCCACACUGGGACUGAGACACGGCCCAGACUCCUACGGGAGGCAGCAGUGGGGAAUAUUGGACAAUGGGCGAAAGCCUGAUCCAGCAAUGCCGCGUGAGUGAUGAAGGCCUUAGGGUUGUAAAGCUCUUUCGCCGACGACGAUGAUGACGGUAGUCGGAGAAGAAGCCCCGGCUAACUUCGUGCCAGCAGCCGCGGUAAUACGAAGGGGGCUAGCGUUGUUCGGAAUUACUGGGCGUAAAGGGCGCGUAGGCGGCCGAUUUAGUCAGGCGUGAAAGCCCAGGGCUCAACUCUGGAAUUGCGCUUGAUACUGGUUGGCUUGAGUGCGGGAGAGGAUAGUGGAAUUCCCAGUGUAGAGGUGAAAUUCGUAGAUAUUGGGAAGAACACCAGUGGCGAAGGCGGCUAUCUGGACCGUAACUGACGCUGAUGCGCGAAAGCGUGGGAGCAAACAGGAUUAGAUACCCUGGUAGUCCACGCCGUAAACGAUGAGUGCUAGACGUCGGGGCUCUUAGAGUUU
rnacentral:rRNA from 1 species